UACGUAGAUGGCGAGCGUUAUCCGGAUUUAUUGGGCGUAAAGCGUGCGCAGGCGGUUUGUUAAGUCUAAAAUCAAAGCCCGAAGCUUAACUUCGGUUCGUUUUAGAAACUGGCAGGCUUGAGUAUGGUAGAGGCAAACGGAAUUUCUAGUGUAGCGGUAAAAUGCGUAGAUAUUAGAAGGAACACCAGUGGCGAAGGCGGUCUGCUGGACAGCAACUGACGGUGAGGCGCGAAAGCGUGGGGAGCAAACAGG
rnacentral:rRNA from 1 species